UACGUAGGGUGCAUGCGUUAAUCGGAAUUACUGGGCGUAAAGCGUGCGCAGGCGGUGAUGUAAGACAGAUGUGAAAUCCCCGGGCUCAACCUGGGAACUGCAUUUGUGACUGCAUCGCUGGAGUGCGGCAGAGGGGGAUGGAAUUCCGCGUGUAGCAGUGAAAUGCGUAGAUAUGCGGAGGAACACCGAUGGCGAAGGCAAUCCCCUGGGCCUGCACUGACGCUCAUGCACGAAAGCGUGGGGAGCAAACAGG
rnacentral:rRNA from 1 species